rnacentral:rRNA from 1 species
AGCAGCCGCGGUAAUUCCAGCUCCAAUAGCGUAUAUUAAAGUUGUUGCAGUUAAAAAGCUCGUAGUUGAAUUUCGGGAUCAAUACGUCGGUCAUGCUUUUUGGUACGAACUGGCGUCAUUGGUUUCUCCUUUCUGACGAACCAUGAUGUCAUUAAUUUGGUGUUAUGGGGAGUUGGGACUGUUACUUUGAAAAAAUUAGAGUGUUUAAAGCAGGCAUAAGCUUGAAUACAUUAGCAUGGAAUAAUGAAAUAGGACGUUUGAUCCUAUUUUGUUGGUUUCUAGGAUCAACGUAAUGAUUAAUAGGGAUAGUUGGGGGCAUUAGUAUUCAAUUGUCAGAGGUGAAAUUCUUGGAUUUAUUGAAGACUAACUACUGCGAAAGCAUUUGCCAAGGAUGUUUUCAUUAAUCAAGAACGAAAGUUAGGGGAUCGAAGACGAUCAGAUACCGUCGUA